rnacentral:rRNA from 1 species
UACGGGGGGGGCAAGCGUUGUUCGGAAUUACUGGGCGUAAAGGGCUCGUAGGCGGCCCUCUCAGUCGGAUGUGAAAUCCCCAGGCUUAACCUGGGAACGGCAUCCGAUACUGGAGGGCUUGAAUUCGGGAGAGGGAUGCAGAAUUCCAGGUGUAGCGGUGAAAUGCGUAGAUAUUGGGAGGAACACCAGUGGCGGAGGCGGCUACCUGGACCGGUUCUGACGCUGAGGCGCGAAAGCGUGGGUAGCAAACAGG